rnacentral:rRNA from 1 species
UGGGGGAUAUUGCACAAUGGGGGAAACCCUGAUGCAGCGACGCCGCGUGAGGGAAGACGGUCCUCUGGAUUGUAAACCUCUGUCGGAGGGGACGAUACUGACGGUACCCUUCGAGGAAGCUCCGGCUAACUACGUGCCAGCAGCCGCGGUAAUACGUAGGGAGCAAGCGUUGUCCGGAAUUACUGGGCGCAAAGGGUACGUAGGCUGCAUCAUAAGUCGGGCGUGAAAGGCAGGGGCUCAACCCCUGGAGUGCGCUUGAUACUGUGAUGCUAGAGUCAUGGAGGGGGAACCGGAACUCUCGGUGUAGCAGUGAAAUGCGUAGAUAUCGAGAAGAACACUCGUGGCGAAGGCGGGUUCCUGGACAUGUACUGACGCUGAGGUAUGAAGGCUAGGGGAGCGAAAG